rnacentral:lncRNA from 1 species
UCCUUUGGUAAAUUAAAACAUUUAUACAUUAACAUCGUAAUUAAACCCGGUAAUUUUAAAUUAGGGUUUUCUAUAGAAAAUUAGGAUUUUCUAAUUAGGGUUUCUUAACGCCAUCAAUUAGGGUUUCUAAUUGACCAUUAGGGUUCUCUAAUUAUCUGUGUAUGUUCUAACACAGUCAUUACGAUCUCUAACUUCAACCGAUUAGGGUUGUAAUAAUUAGGGUUUGUCCUAAUUAUCGACAAACAACAGUAAUUAGGGUUUUCUUCUAAUUACCGACAUCUUAUACACAGUAACCUUCAUAUACACAGUAAACUUCAUAUACACAGUCACUACUCAGUCAUUUCUCAUAACUAAGUUUAAUAAUUAGGGUUUCAC